rnacentral:rRNA from 1 species
CUACGGGCGGCUGCAGUGGGGAAUAUUGCACAAUGGAGGAAACUCUGAUGCAGCAACGCCGCGUGGAGGAUGACACUUUUCGGAGCGUAAACUCCUUUUAUAUAGGAAGAAGAUGACGGUACUAUAUGAAUAAGCGCCGGCUAACUCCGUGCCAGCAGCCGCGGUAAUACGGAGGGCGCAAGCGUUACUCGGAAUCACUGGGCGUAAAGAGCGUGUAGGCGGAUUAAAAAGUCAGGAGUGAAAUCCUAUAGCUUAACUAUAGAACUGCUUCUGAAACUCUUAAUCUAGAAUAUGGGAGAGGUAGAUGGAAUUUCUGGUGUAGGGGUAAAAUCCGUAGAGAUCAGAAGGAAUACCGAUUGCGAAGGCGAUCUACUAGAACAUUAUUGACGCUGAGACGCGAAAGCGUGGGGAGCAAACAGGAUUAGAUAUCCCAGUAGUC